UGGGGAAUAUUGCACAAUGGGCGCAAGCCUGAUGCAGCCAUGCCGCGUGUAUGAAGAAGGCCUUCGGGUUGUAAAGUACUUUCAGUCGGGAGGAAGGUGGUAAGGUUAAUAACCUUAUCAAUUGACGUUACCGACAGAAGAAGCACCGGCUAACUCCGUGCCAGCAGCCGCGGUAAUACGGAGGGAGCAAGCGUUAAUCGGAAUUACUGGGCGUAAAGCGCACGCAGGCGGUUGAUUGAGUCAGAUGUGAAAUCCCCGGGCUUAACCCGGGAAUUGCAUCUGAUACUGGUCAGCUAGAGUCUUGUAGAGGGGGGUAGAAUUCCAUGUGUAGCGGUGAAAUGCGUAGAGAUGUGGAGGAAUACCGGUGGCGAAGGCGGCCCCCUGGACAAAGACUGACGCUCAGGUGCGAAAGCGUGGGGAGCAAACA
rnacentral:rRNA from 1 species